AAGGAUCAUUAUUGAAUGAACUUGGUGUGGUUGUUGCUGGCCCUUUCGGGGGCAUGUGCACACCCAUCAUCCUCAUCUCUCCACCUGUGCACCUCUUGUGGACUUGGAUUGACUUUCCGAGGCAACUCGGUCGGGAGGACUUGCUGGCUUUCCUUGCAUUUCCAAGUCUAUGUUUUUUCAUAUACCCCAUUGAAUGUAACAGAAUGUAACAUAUUGGGCCUUUGUGCCUAUAAAAACUUAUACAACUUUCAGCAACGGAUCUCUUGGCUCUC
rnacentral:misc_RNA from 1 species